UAGGGAAUCUUCGGCAAUGGGGGGAACCCUGACCGAGCAACGCCGCGUGAGUGAAGAAGGUUUUCGGAUCGUAAAGCUCUGUUGUUAAGGAAGAACGAGUGUGAGAAUGGAAAGUUCAUACUGUGACGGUACUUAACCAGAAAGGGACGGCUAACUACGUGCCAGCAGCCGCGGUAAUACGUAGGUCCCGAGCGUUGUCCGGAUUUAUUGGGCGUAAAGCGAGCGCAGGCGGUUAGAUAAGUCUGAAGUUAAAGGCAGUGGCUCAACCAUUGUAGGCUUUGGAAACUGUUUAACUUGAGUGCAGAAGGGGAGAGUGGAAUUCCAUGUGUAGCGGUGAAAUGCGUAGAUAUAUGGAGGAACACCGGUGGCGAAAGCGGCUCUCUGGUCUGUAACUGACGCUGAGGCUCGAAAGCGUGGGGAGCGAACAGGAUUAGAUGCCCUGGUAGUCCACGCCGUAAACGAUGAGUGCUAGGUGUUAGGUCCUUUCCGGGACUUAGUGCCGCAGCUAACGCAUUAAGCACUCCGCCUGGGGAGUACGACCGCAAGGUUG
rnacentral:rRNA from 1 species